GUAUCCCCAAAUUCCUAUCAGGUUUUAUAAUGUCAAACAUUCUGUUUUCUCAAAGUAGCUGCUCUGUCUACCACUCACAAUGUUCUUUGGAAGUUCAUUUGAAAUCACAAACAUGUCACUGCUCACAAUGAAGGGAAACAAAGUUUAGGAAACUCAGAGAACUAAAAUUGUGUCUCCAUAAUUCAUGCUGACAGUAUGAUCCAAGACAUGCCAAAUGCCUGUCACUUAGCAUGACUUUACACCUCUUUUUAAAACAUAUUACAUCAUGAUAAAAGGCUGAAGCCUCAGUAUUAGGUCUUUAACCAAGAGAGUAAGGAUAAAGAAUAAAAAUGUGUACCAUGCCAAUUUUUCAAUGCAAUUGGAAAAAAAGUACACUUAAAACACAGCCAACUACAUAGGAAACACUUACAUUUAGAAGGCACUAAAAUAAGCAUAUGAUAUUAAUGGCAUUAGGAAGAUAAUAUUUUUUACUGAGAACUAUAUUUUAGAAGUUUACAGAAUUUCUUAUGAAAUAUGGAAACUUAUGCAUCCCACACAUCUCCAAUUCCUAGAAUUUUUUCAUAAUGUGAUGAGACAAUAAAAAAAAUCUGUCUAAAUAGCCUAGGGAAAUAUAAAAAGAUUCUUUGUUUUCCAUAGAUAUUCAUUCUAUAAACCACUUACCACACCACUAGGAUGAAGUGCACAGACUAUUCCAUUUGGCAGUUAUUUUGU
rnacentral:lncRNA from 1 species